rnacentral:lncRNA from 1 species
GUUCUCUUUCAACUGGGGUUUCUAAGCUGGAAGCUCAACUAUCUGGAGCUUACUUAGGAGUCCCAGGGGAGAGCUUGCUUAAGGCUGGCGCCUCACAGAGGAAAGUGACAGGAAGCAGCAUUCCACCUGAAGAAAAAUCAUCAUAAUCAAC